GUCCACGCCCUAAACGAUGAAUGCUAGGUGUAGGGGAGUUAUCUUCUGUGCCGCAGCUAACGCAAUAAGCAUUCCACCUGGGGAGUACGGCCGCAAGGUUGAAACUCAAAGGAAUUGACGGGAGCCCGCACAAGCAGUAGAGUAUGUGGUUUAAUUCGACGCAACGCGAAAAACCUUACCAAGGAUUGACAUCCCGAGGAGUCGGCGUAAUGGCUGAUGUGCCUCUUCGGAGGAAUUCGGUGACAGGUGGUGCAUGGUUGUCGU
rnacentral:rRNA from 1 species